UACAGAGGGUGCAAGCGUUGUUCGGAAUUACUGGGCGUAAAGGGCGCGUAGGUGGUUUCUUAAGUCAGAUGUGAAAUCCCUGGGCUUAACCUAGGAAUUGCAUUUGAAACUGAGAAGCUAGAGCAUGAGAGAGGUAAGUGGAAUUUCCGGUGUAGCGGUGAAAUGCGUAGAUAUCGGAAGGAACACCAGUGGCGAAGGCGGCUUACUGGCUCAUUGCUGACACUGAGGCGCGAAAGCGUGGGGAGCGAACAGG
rnacentral:rRNA from 1 species